AACGAACGCUGGCGGCAGGCUUAACACAUGCAAGUCGAACGCCCCGCAAGGGGAGUGGCAGACGGGUGAGUAACGCGUGGGAAUCUACCCAGUUCUACGGAACAACGGUUGGGAACGACUGCUAAUACCGUAUACGCCCUACGGGGGAAAGAUUUAUCGGAAUUGGAUGAGCCCGCGUAAGAUUAGCUAGUUGGUGGGGUAAUGGCCUACCAAGGCGACGAUCUUUAGCUGGUCUGAGAGGAUGAUCAGCCACACUGGGACUGAGACACGGCCCAGACUCCUACGGGAGGCAGCAGUGGGGAAUAUUGGACAAUGGGCGCAAGCCUGAUCCAGCCAUGCCGCGUGAGUGAUGAAGGCCUUAGGGUUGUAAAGCUCUUUCACCGAUGAAGAUAAUGACGGUAGUCGGAGAAGAAGCCCCGGCUAACUUCGUGCCAGCAGCCGCCGUAAUAC
rnacentral:rRNA from 1 species